rnacentral:rRNA from 1 species
AGCGAACGCUGGCGGCAGGCUUAACACAUGCAAGUCGAGCGCCCCGCAAGGGGAGCGGCAGACGGGUGAGUAACGCGUGGGAAUUUACCCAGUGGUACGGAACAACCCAGGGAAACUUGGGCUAAUACCGUAUAAGUCCUUCGGGAGAAAGAUUUAUCGCCAUUGGAUGAGCCCGCGUCGGAUUAGCUAGUUGGUGGGGUAACGGCCUACCAAGGCGACGAUCCGUAGCUGGUCUGAGAGGAUGAUCAGCCACACUGGGACUGAGACACGGCCCAGACUCCUACGGGAGGCAGCAGUGGGGAAUAUUGGACAAUGGGCGCAAGCCUGAUCCAGCCAUGCCGCGUGAGUGAUGAAGGCCUUAGGGUUGUAAAGCUCUUUCGGCGGGGAAGAUAAUGACGGUACCCGCAGAAGAAGCCCCGGCUAACUUCGUGCCAGCCGCCGCUGUAAUAC